UUAAUACAACUUAUAACAAUAUCCCAGGUUAACUAACAUUGACAUAACUUACAUACCCUUAUAUAACCAAAAGGUUUACAUAAUUAAUUACAUAAUAAAACAUAACCAUUAAAAGUUGACUUUAACUACUCCUGAGCCUUGCCUUUGCCUUUUGUCCCUGUUAGAACCUUCUGCUACAUCGACAUUAGCUGAAAUAUUUUAUUUAAGCAAGGGUGGGCAACGAGU
rnacentral:lncRNA from 1 species